AGCGCGCUCAACGUCGCUGCUGGAAGCAUUGUCGUCGGAGACCUCUGAAAUGCGUCAACGUAUGUCCUGUAUAAGCGUUCGGAGGGAGGUGAUAACGUUUCCCCGUCCUGAGCUGAACGUUGGAGGUCGGCAGCUGGUGCUCGUGAGCGGACGUACCUUCCACGCAGCAAAAAAAAAGAAGCGUCAUCUUUUUAAAGUCUCGGCUACUUAUUGGAAACAAGUAAUGCGGCGUCCAGGCAUAACCACUA
rnacentral:lncRNA from 1 species